rnacentral:lncRNA from 7 species
ACGCCAUUUCCUUCUCUAGCCAGGCCACAACCAACUCUCGUUCGCUCGCCAGCCCCAUAGUCCGGCUAGGCCACCCCUCUGCUCCUCCAUGGUGCUGGGAACUCCUCCGACACAGUCUGCUCCUGCUCGGAUCGUACGUCUGCCAGGCUCCCGGCUCCACUGCGCGCGGCGCACGGCCCUGCUUCAUCCUCUGUCGUGUUGUGCCGCCGCCCUGGAGCUCACCCCAGUGCUCGCUGGACCGAGAUAUGAUGAUCGUGCAAGUGAUGUGGUGCCAACCACAAGAUGCAGUUGAUGGACGACCUGAAGAAGGAUGGACUUAUCCAGUGGAUGCUCGCCAAGCGAGUGUCAUCUAGCAAACACUAUCUAGUGUUGGAUUCCAGGCAAGCCCCGAUUUUAUGCAUAACCGUUAUAUAUGCUAUUUUACUACACUUAAUAUUUAUAGGCUUGUAUUGUAAACUUAAUUGUAGGAGUUGUUUGAGACCCUAGUUGCAUGAACUCAGGAUUCCUUUUGAGAUGGAUACUAGUAUGCUAGGCCGAGUAGCUGCUAUGCUAAUUCAGGAUUUUGGUAGAAGUCGAGUGAUUUUUCUAGCACUCGCGCGAGGACAGGAAUUGAUUGUAUCCAAUUUUGAUAAUGGAAUUAUGAUGGUCUGUGGACACGGAUCCAUGGGGAUGCGUGGUCUUUGAGACGGAAUUG